CCCCUUCAAACCUGUGUCCAACCUUUAUCCCAAAACAGGAUGUUGUGCAGAGGCCAUGAAAACACUGAUCCAAAUAAAAAGCUUACAGCACCUAGUAUUCCCAUUCAGUCUCCCAACCGAGUACUAACCAGGCCCAACUCUGCUUUGCUUCCGAGGUCAGAUGAGAUCAGGCUUUUUCAGAGUGGUAUGGCCGUAAGCGAAAGCUGACCCCAAAUGGGGCCUAUUUUAAAUAGUGUAAUCAAAAGACUGACUGACUGAUUGAUUGAUUGAUUGGGUCCCCUUCAAACCUGUGUCCAACCUUUAUCCCAAAACAGGAUGUUGUGCAGAGGCCAUGAAAACACUGAUCCAAAUAAAAAGCUUACAGCACCUAGUAUUCCCAUUCAGUCUCAUAACCAAGUACUAACCAGGCCCAACUCUGCUUUGCUUCCGAGGUCAGAUGAGAUCAGGCUUUGUCAGAGUGGUAUGGCCGUAAGCGAAAGCUGACCCCAAAUGGGGCCUAUUUAAAUAGUGUAAUCAAAAGACUGACUGAGUGACUGACUGAUUGAUUGAUUGGGUCCCCUUCAAACCUGUGUCCAACCUUUAUCCCAAAACAGGAUGUUGUGCAGAGGCCAUGAAAACACUGAUCCAAAUAAAAAGCUUACAGCACCUAGUAUUCCCAUUCAGUCUCCCAACCAAGUACUAACCAGGCCCAACUCUGCUUUGCUUCCGAGGUCAGAUGAGAUCAGGCUUUUUCAGAGUGGUAUGGCCGUAAGCGAAAGCUGACCCCAAAUGGGGCCUAUUUAAAUAGUGUAAUCAAAAGAGACUGACUGACUGACUGACUGACUGACUGAUUGAUGAUUGAUUGAUUGGGUCCCCUUCAAACCUGUGUCCAACCUUUAUCCCAAAACAGGAUGUUGUGCAGAGGCCAUGAAAACACUGAUCCAAAUAAAAAGCUUACAGCACCUAGUAUUCCCAUUCAGUCUCCCAACCAAGUACUAACCAGGCCCAACUCUGCUUUGCUUCCGAGGUCAGAUGAGAUCAGGCUUUUUCAGAGUGGUAUGGCCGUAAGCGAAAGCUGACCCCAAAUGGGGCCUAUUUAAAUAGUGUAAUCAAAGACUGACUGA
ensembl:lncRNA